GAUGAACGCUAGCGGCAGGCCUAAUACAUGCAAGUCGAACGGAUAUAUGUUUUUCGGAAUAUAUAUUAGUGGCGCACGGGUGAGUAACACGUACAUAACUUGCCCUCAAGCGGGGGAUAGCCUUGGGAAACUGAGAGUAAUACCCCAUAGAAUUAUUGGACGGCAUCGUUUGAUAAUUAAAACUACGGUGUUUGGGGAUAGAUGUGCGUCUGAUUAGCUAGUUGGUGAGGUAACUGCUCACCAAGGCGACGAUCAGUAGGGGGCGUGAGAGCGUGGCCCCCCACACGGGUACUGAGACACGGACCCGACUCCUACGGGAGGCAGCAGUAAGGAAUAUUGGUCAAUGGACGAAAGUCUGAACCAGCCAUGCCGCGUGAAGGAUGAAGGUCCUCUGGAUUGUAAACUUCUUUUAUCUGGGACGAAAAAAGGGAAUUCUUUCCCACUUGACGGUACCAGAGGAAUAAGCACCGGCUAACUCCGUGCCAGCAGACGCGGUAAAGUAGUCGUG
rnacentral:rRNA from 1 species